GACGUAGGGCGCGAGCGUUGUCCGGAAUUAUUGGGCGUAAAGGGCUCGUAGGCGGUUUGUCACGUCGGGAGUGAAAACUCGGGGCUUAACCCCGAGCCUGCUUCCGAUACGGGCAGACUAGAGGUAUGCAGGGGAGAACGGAAUUCCUGGUGUAGCGGUGAAAUGCGCAGAUAUCAGGAGGAACACCGGUGGCGAAGGCGGUUCUCUGGGCAUUACCUGACGCUGAGGCGCGAAAGUGUGGGGAGCGAACAGG
rnacentral:rRNA from 1 species